rnacentral:rRNA from 1 species
GAUGAACGCUGGCGGCGUGCCUAAUACAUGCAAGUCGAACGCGAGCACUUGUGCUCGAGUGGCGAACGGGUGAGUAAUACAUAAGUAACCUGCCCUAGACAGGGGGAUAACUAUUGGAACGACUGCUAAUACCGCAUAAUGUCAUUUGGGGGUCGAUCCCUGGAUGACCAAAGAUUUAUUGCUGAAAGAUGGUCUCGCGUCUGAUUAGCUGGUUGGCGGGGUAACGGCCCACCAAGGCGACGAUCAGUAGCCGGUCUGAGAGGAUGAACGGCCACAUUGGGACUGAGAUACGGCCCAG